AGUAACACGUGGGGAAUCUGCCUUUGGGUGGGGAAGUAACGGCGCGAAAGUGUCGCUAAUACCGCAUAACGUACAGAAGCCGCAUGGUUUCUGUGGGAAAGGGGGGGAGUCGAAAGACCUCCCGCCGAGAGAGGAUCCCGCGUCCGAUUAGCUAGUUGGAGGGGUAACGGCCCACCAAGGCGACGAUCGGUAGCCGGCCUGAGAGGGCGGCCGGCCACACUGGCACUGAGAUACGGGCCAG
rnacentral:rRNA from 1 species